UCGAACUGCUGAAAAUAGGCUGAUCACUGCUGAUGUCGUGAUACUAAUAAUUACGUCUCAUUUUGUUAUAAAAGUAAUUUGAUGGACCACAAGCAACGAUUUGAUAGACAAAUAAAGUAAUGUUCAAUAGAAUUCUGAUAAAAUCAUUCAACAUUGGCUUUUCGAGUCUUCUUCCGACAUUAGGAAUUUACGACAAUUCCCUGGCCGUUUUCCGCCACCAUGUUGACAGAGAGACAGUCUCUUUUAUUUUCAAAGAAAAAACACUUUAUUCGGUUGUUUUUGUAUCCAAGAAGUGUACUGAUCUAUGCUGUUUGGUACCUUGCAACAACCGUUCAGGCGAUUUUAUUUCUAGGUACAACCUGCACGACAAGAUCAAGAUGUACACCAUGAUUUUCAGGUUUUUAAUAACCGCCAAAGGAACAGACUGGAGUUUCCAUCAGUAAGCAGUCAAAAUGUACAACCUGAGUCAACACUUUGCAGUAUAAUCCCUUUGAUCCAGAUGUGCUAAAAGACAACUGUGAUGCUUAAACCAUCUGGCUGGGCAAAGAAUCUCAUCUGUGUUGAAUUUGGCCACAUGUCAACAUGACUGAGGUGUUUACAUUCAAGCUGCAAUGAAAGACCUUAUUGUUCAUCAGAAUUUUACCAAUUGAAAGCCACAGAAAGUCAAGAUUGAAGUUGGAAAAAUAAAGGGAAGAAGCAUUUGUGUCAGAACCUCCCAUAAGAUUUAAAGCACUUCUAUAUGAACAGACCUGCUGCAUACAUGUAAAUGAUAUACUUUUUGAGGAACUUUUGUAAUACUAAAUCUGUCUUUUUUCCAUUCAGUGUGCCCAUUUAUGUUAUUCCUAAGUUUAAGCUUGCAAAAGUUAAGCAAUGAUACAUUAUACAUAUAUUACAUGGCUUCAAGGGCAGCAUACCAGAAUAUUUGCCCCUCGGUGACAGGAAAGCCCUGGAGUGUUA